GGGGAAGGACCAAUGAGUAAGUCAAGGAAACAACCAAACACAUUGUGAAUGCUCUCUGUGUUACUUCAUGAAUAAAAUAUUUGACACAAAUACUUCGGUCAACAAUGCAUGCAACUCGUAACAAAACAUUUAUGAAGUACAUAUUACAAACAUGAAAACAAAUCAAAUUAUUUAGGACCUAAGACAAGUAAAACCAUAUUUUUGAAAUAAAAACA
rnacentral:lncRNA from 1 species